rnacentral:rRNA from 1 species
CCUACGGGUGGCAGCAGUGAGGAAUAUUGGUCAAUGGACGAGAGUCUGAACCAGCCAAGUAGCGUGAAGGAUGACUGCCCUAUGGGUUGUAAACUUCUUUUAUAUGGGAAUAAAAUGUUCCACGUGUGGGAUUUUGUAUGUACCAUAUGAAUAAGGAUCGGCUAACUCCGUGCCAGCAGCCGCGGUAAUACGGAGGAUCCGAGCGUUAUCCGGAUUUAUUGGGUUUAAAGGGAGCGUAGGUGGAUUGUUAAGUCAGUUGUGAAAGUUUGCGGCUCAACCGUAAAAUUGCAGUUGAAACUGGCAGUCUUGAGUACAGUAGAGGUGGGCGGAAUGCGUGGUGUAGCGGUGAAAUGCUUAGAUAUCGCGAAGAACUCCGAUUGCGAAGGCAGUUCACUGGACUGCAACUGACACUGAGGCUCGAAAGUGUGGGUAUCAAACAGGAUUAGAUACCCUGGUAGUC